rfam:Lactobacillus harbinensis DSM 16991 NODE_43, whole genome shotgun sequence.
CUUUGCGGAGUUAAAAACACGGUCUGGCCGGUAGUCCAGACGCAGCCUUCGGGCUGUCAGUAUCCUUCCUUCCUGGAUGUCCAUACUUCGUGAAUCGAAA